GUUUACAUGUGGCUGUAGAAACCCUACAAAGAUUACAUGUGGUUAUAAUCCUUGUGGAGCUAGGUUUUUCAACGAGAAAUACAUCUUAGAUAUGCAUAAGACGAAUCAGAAAAAGAAGAAGAUCCCGAAGAAGAUGAUGAAGAAAUGGCAGAUGCAAGUCCUAAAAACGAGACGAGUGAAUUUUAUUUUCUGAAUUUGAUGCGUUUUAUUUAAUUGCUUUUAAAAUUGGUGAAGUCUCAUAUUUUACGGUACUUUUUAUAGGAGAAAGGAGAGGAUGAGAAAAAGUUGACAUGGAUGUUAAGUCUGAAAAUGUAGAAGAAAAAGUGAAAGUUGAAGAAGAGAAUGUUGUUGCUACUAAAGUAACUGUGAAUCCAGACACCAAGUUGCAGGUUGAGGAGAAAAAGGAAAACAAAAAGGUGGACACGAAUAAGAAAAAAGAAGCUCCAGUUACCAUUAACAAGGAACUCUUGCAGGUAUUUCAUCUUUAAAAUGUGUAAUUCUUGUGAAUUUUUAUAAAUUCUUUUGUUAAAUUUAAAAAAAUAUCUCCUAUUCAUGACAGGCUUUCAGGUUUUUUGACCGCAAUCGAGUGGGCCACAUUAGGGGUGUAGAAAAAGCAAUUAAAUAGAACUGGGAAAGCUAUUCUUAAGGUUCAUCUACAUUGGAAUGAUCCUCCUUUGGGAUAUUGAUGCUGGGCUUGCUCAAAUUGACAAGUACUUUCAUAGCAAUGAUAAUCAUGUGAUUGCUGGUGCAUUGUUAGGAGUUGGGGUUGUAAACUGUGGUAUCAUGAAUGAUUGUGACCCUAUGAGUGCUUAAUUUUUUU